rnacentral:rRNA from 1 species
CACCGCCCGUCACGUCAUGGAAGGUGGCAACGCCUGAAGUCGCUGUGCCAACCCCUUUGGGGGGAGCAGGCGCCUAGGGCGGGGCUGCUGACUGGGACG